rnacentral:rRNA from 1 species
GACGAACGCUGGCGGCGUGCCUAAUACAUGCCAGUCGAGCGGACGAAUCGAAAGCUUGCUUUUGAUUCGUUAGCGGCGGACGGGUGAGUAACACGUGGGCAACCUGCCCUGUAGACGGGGAUAACACCGAGAAAUCGGUGCUAAUACCGGAUAACACGACAUGUCGCAUGACGUUUCGUUUAAAGACGGCUCACGCUGCCGCUACAGGAUGGGCCCGCGGCGCAUUAGCUAGUUGGUGAGGUAACGGCUCACCAAGGCGACGAUACGUAGCCGACCUGAGAGGGUGAUCGGCCACACUGGAACUGAGACACGGCCCAGACUCCUACGGGAGGCAGCAGUAGGGAAUCUUCCGCAAUGGACGAAAGUCUGACGGAGCAACGCCGCGUGAGCGAAGAAGGCCUUCGGGUCGUAAAGCUCUGUUGUUAGGGAAGAACAAGUAACGCAGUAACUGGCGUUACCGUGACGGUACCUAAAGAGAAAGCCACGGCUAACUACGUG